rnacentral:rRNA from 1 species
AGAGCGAACGCUGGCGGCAGGCCUAAAACAUGCAAGUCGAACGGAUCCUUCGGGAUUAGUGGCGGACGGGUGAGUAACACGUGGGAACGUGCCUUUUGGUUCGGAACAACUCAGGGAAACUUGAGCUAAUACCGAAUGUGCCCUUCGGGGGAAAGAUUUAUCGCCAUUAGAGCGGCCCGCGUCUGAUUAGCUAGUUGGUGAGGUAAAGGCUCACCAAGGCUACGAUCAGUAGCUGGUCUGAGAGGAUGAUCAGCCACACUGGGACUGAGACACGGCCCAGACUCCUACGGGAGGCAGCAGUUAGGAAUCUUGCGCAAUGGGGGAAACCCUGACGCAGCCAUGCCGCGUGAAUGAUGAAGGUCUUAGGAUUGUAAAAUUCUUUCAGCGGGGACGAUAAUGACGGUACCCGCAGAAGAAGCUCCGGCUAACUUCGUGCCAGCAGCCGC